AUUGAACGCUGGCGGCAUGCCUUACACAUGCAAGUCGAACGGCAGCACGGGGGCAACCCUGGUGGCGAGUGGCGAACGGGUGAGUAAUGCAUCGGAACGUGUCCUCUUGUGGGGGAUAACCAGUCGAAAGAUUGGCUAAUACCGCAUGAGAUCGCAAGAUGAAAGCGGGGGACCGCAAGGCCUCGCGCGAGAGGAGCGGCCGAUGCCGGAUUAGCUAGUUGGUGGGGUAAAAGCCUACCAAGGCGACAAUCCGUAGCUGGUCUGAGAGGACGACCAGCCACACUGGGACUGAGACACGGCCCAGACUCCUACGGGAGGGAGCAGUGGGGAAUUUUGGACAAUGGGCGCAAGCCUGAUCCAGCCAUGCCGCGUGUGUGAAGAAGGCCUUCGGGUUGUAAAGCACUUUCGGACGGAACGAAAUCGCGCGGACGAACAUUCCGCGUGGAUGACGGUACCGUAAGAAGAAGCACCGGCUAACUACGUGCCAGCCGCCGCUGUAAAAC
rnacentral:rRNA from 1 species